rnacentral:rRNA from 1 species
CACGGGCGGCAGCAGUGGGGAAUAUUGGACAAUGGGCGAAAGCCUGAUCCAGCCAUGCCGCGUGUGUGAAGAAGGCCUUCGGGUUGUAAAGCACUUUCAGUGGGGAAGAAAGCCUUGGGGCUAAUACCCUCGAGGAAGGACAUCACCCACAGAAGAAGCACCGGCUAACUCCGUGCCAGCAGCCGCGGUAAUACGGAGGGUGCGAGCGUUAAUCGGAAUUACUGGGCGUAAAGCGCGCGUAGGCGGUCUGAUAAGCCGGUUGUGAAAGCCCCGGGCUCAACCUGGGAACGGCAUCCGGAACUGUCAGGCUAGAGUGCAGGAGAGGAAGGUAGAAUUCCCGGUGUAGCGGUGAAAUGCGUAGAGAUCGGGAGGAAUACCAGUGGCGAAGGCGGCCUUCUGGACUGACACUGACGCUGAGGUGCGAAAGCGUGGGUAGCAAACAGGAUUAGAUACCCUAGUAGUC